rnacentral:rRNA from 1 species
UACGGAGGGUGCAAACGUUGCUCGGAAUCAUUGGGCGUAAAGCGCGCGUAGGCGGUUCGUUAAGUCGGGUGUGAAAACCCGGGGCUCAACUCCGGGCCUGCAGUCGAUACGGGCUGGCUUGAGUGCGGUAGGGGAGACUGGAAUUCCUGGUGUAGCGGUGAAAUGCGCAGAUAUCAGGAAGAACACCCGUGGCGAAGGCGGCUCUCUGGGACGGUACUGACGCUGAGACGCGAAAGCGUGGGGAGCGAACAGG